rnacentral:tRNA from 1 species
GGAGGGGUGGCCGAGUGGUUGAAGGCGCACGCCUGGAGAGCGUGUAGGCGGGAAACCGUCUCGGGGGUUCGAAUCCCCCUCCCUCCGCCA